CCUACGGGGGGCAGCAGUGAGGAAUAUUGGUCAAUGGGCGCGAGCCUGAACCAGCCAAGUAGCGUGAAGGAUGACUGCCCUACGGGUUGUAAACUUCUUUUAUAAAGGAAUAAAGUGAGGCACGUGUGCCUUUUUGUAUGUACUUUAUGAAUAAGGAUCGGCUAACUCCGUGCCAGCAGCCGCGGUAAUACGGAGGAUCCGAGCGUUAUCCGGAUUUAUUGGGUUUAAAGGGUGCGUAGAUGGGUUGUUAAGUCAGUGGUGAAAGUUUGCGGCUCAACCGUAAAAUUGCAAUUGAUACUGGCAGUCUUGAGUUCAGUUGAGGUAGGCGGAAUGCGUGGUGUAGCGGUGAAAUGCUUAGAUAUCACGAAGAACUCCGAUUGCGAAGGCAGCUUACUAAACUGCCACUGACAUUGAUGCUCGAAAGCGUGGGGAGCAAACAGGAUUAGAUACCCGGGUAGUC
rnacentral:rRNA from 1 species